GUCACAUGGUACGAGGCUCCGCCACUCCCGGAUUCGCGCUUCUACACAGCAGCCAUUAAUCGCUCGGUAUUUAUUCGCUGAAAAGAAUUCAACAGACUAACGUAAAACCGCGUUCGCAAGUAUUAUGUGACUGCAUCUUCAACAACGAACUUACAGAAUGGUCCAGUGGAUCAAGCACAAUGCGCUCCAUCUCCCGUUGGUGUGCUUUAACUGCAGACUACUACACAGAGAAUGGGUUGAAGAAAGUCUCCAAACCUGGCAAAUGUACUGACUAGGAGAUUGUGAGUACCCGGGAUGGUACCAACUUCCAAGAUGCGUCACCACUCCUUAAUCAUUCCUGAAUGAAAAUCCUGGAGCUUCCUAACUAACACCAAAUUGACAACAGCAGUUUAACACUGCCUUCUUGAGGGAAAGCUGGAAUGGUGCCUUCCCACUGACACCCAUGUCCCAGUCAUUAAAGAGGAACCCAGGACAUGGACCCUGUGACCAUUUAAAUAUGAUGAAGCCUGGGCAUGGAGGCUGUGAUCACAUGAGCAUGAUGCUGACUGUGGCCCUGUGGUGUAUCUUUGUGGGUUCUGAUUUAUCAGAAUUCAUGUCUAUGAACAACUUUUAAUAUAACUCCAUAAAUCGUGUCUAUUAACCCAUUAAUUCUUGGUUAUAAUACUAACUGCAGAUUUCCAUGUGCCAGCCACCACCAGUCCCCCCCCCAUUCAAACUAAUUCAGGGGCUUGCUUCUGUAUCAGGUUACAACCACUUCAAUUUGCGGUUACACCCCACUUGAAAGUGCAGUCAUCCAUAAAGUGCUAUGUAAACAACCCCACUUAACAAGACCCACAUUCCAUUCAAAGGUGCGACAGCUAACAAAACUGUGCAGAUACUACAGGAUGAAGCCUUUUUGCACCCCCACACCAAAAAUAGUGUUGUUUGAUAUUAAAAUCCAACUGUGAAUAGGUGCUAAAUAAGUGCCGUUUAUCUUCUCCCUCCAGCUAGAGUAGCUCCAAGUAUCAGUCAAAGGUGAUAAUUGGAUUAGAGACAGUAGGAACUGCAGAUGCUGGAGAAUCUGAGACAACAAGGUUUAGAGCAGGAUGAACACAGCAGGCCAGCAGCAUCAGAGGAGCAGGAAGGCUGACGUU